rnacentral:rRNA from 1 species
CGAAAGCCUGACGGAGCAAUACCGCGUGAGGGAGGAAGGCUCUUGGGUUGUAAACCUCAAAACUUAGGGAAGAAAAAAAUGACGGUACCUAAUAUAAGCAUCGGCUAACUCCGUGCCAGCAGCCGCGGUAAUACGGAGGAUGCAAGCGUUAUCCGGAAUCAUUGGGCGUAAAGCGUCCGUAGGUGGCAUUUCAAGUCUGCUGUCAAAGACCGAAGCUCAACUUCGGGUAGGCGGUGGAAACUGAAAAGCUAGAGUAUAGUAGGGGUAGAGGGAAUUCCUAGUGUAGCGGUGAAAUGCGUAGAGAUUAGGAAGAACACCAGUGGCGAAGGCGCUCUACUGGGCAUAUACUGACACUGAGGGACGAAAGCUAGGGUAGCG